GUACUUAAGCGCAGUACUUGAGUAAAUGUACUUAGUUACCUUCCACCGCUGAUGAUAAAACUUAUUAGCAGGGAAAAUAGUAAAAAGUAGCAAUAGUGUGAUGCUAGACCUUGACAGAGCACCAAAUGAAAGCUCAAGGUUUUGACCUCUUGUGGACACUCAGCUGGCUACCAUUGUUGUUUGAUCACCGUCAAAUUUACUCCACCAGAUAAGCUGAUGGACGCGCUCCCUGUACCCUGAUCCAAUCUUUUUCACAGAUGUGAUGGGACUGACGAGGUGAAAAAUGGAAGGGGGUGAAAAUUAAUGCCCCCCUCAGGAUGAAUUGGAACAACUUUGGAGAUCCCCUGACUUUCCAUAUAGCACCAUCAUCAGUUCAUUUUUAGUUUGUCCAAUACUUACAAAACUAAUAGAAUACGGUACCUGCAAAACUACUUUUUCCUAUCAGUUGUAGCCUGCUAUGUGAGCUAAUUAGCAAGCAUUAGCAUGCCACUAAGAUGGCAAACAUUAUAUCUGCCAAACAUGAGCAUUAGUAUUUUCAUUUUGAGCAUGUCAUCUUGCUGACGUAAGCAUUUAGCGCAAAAACACUGCUGUGCUGUUCCUAAGUGCAGCCUCACAGACCCGCUAGUCUUCUUAACUUCCUGCAAUGAAAAUAUUCACUCUGUUGCACCCAGAG